AGAGUUUGAUCCUGGCUCAGAACGAACGCUGGCGGCGUGCUUAACACAUGCAAGUCGAGCGAGAAAGACUCCUUCGGGAGUUGAGUAAAGCGGCGAACGGGUGAGUAAUACGUGGGUAACCUGCCCUUCGGACCGGGACAACCACUCGAAAGGGUGGUUAAUACCGGAUAAGACCACAAAUUCCUCGGAAUUAGAGGGAAAAGGAUGGCCUCUCCAUGGAAGCCAUCGCCAAAGGAUGGGCUCGCGUGCUAUCAGCUUGUUGGUAAGGUAAUGGCUUACCAAGGCUAUGACGGCUAGCUGGUCUGAGAGGAUGACCAGCCACACUGGAACUGAAACACGGUCCAGACUCCUACGGGAGGCAGCAGUGGGGAAUAUUGCGCAAUGGGGGAAACCCUGACGCAGCAACGCCGCGUGAGUGAUGAAGGUUUUCGGAUUGUAAAGCUCUGUCAGGGGGGAAGAAAAGCCCGGGGUUAAUAUCCUCGGGUCUUGACGGUACCUCCAGAGGAAGCACCGGCUAACUCCGUGCCAGCAGCCGCGGUAAUACGGAGGGUGCAAGCGUUGUUCGGAAUUACUGGGCGUAAAGAGCGUGUAGGCGGUUGGAUAAGUUAGGUGUGAAAGCCCGAGGCUUAACUUCGGAAGUGCAUUUAAAACUACUCAACUUGAGUCCGAGAGAGGGAAGCGGAAUUCCUGGUGUAGAGGUGAAAUUCGAAGAGAUCAGGAAGAACACCGGCGGCGAAGGCGGCUUCCUGGAUCGGUACUGACGCUGAGACGCGAAAGCGUGGGGAGCAAACAGGAUUAGAUACCCUGGUAGUCCACGCCGUAAACGAUGUGCACUAGGUGUUGCAGCUUGAAAUUGCAGUGCCGGAGGUAACCCAUUAAGUGCACCGCCUGGGGAUUACGGCCGCAAGGCUAAAACUCAAAGGAAUUGACGGGGGCCCGCACAAGCGGUGGAGCACGUGGUUUAAUUCGACGCUACGCGAAAAACCUUACCUGGGUUUGACAUCCUGAGAACCUCCUAGAGAUAGGAGGGUGCCCUUCGGGGAAUUCAGAGACAGGUGCUGCAUGGCUGUCGUCAGCUCGUGUCGUGAGAUGUUGGGUUAAGUCCCGCAACGAGCGCAACCCUUGCCCCUAUUUGCCAUCAUUAAGUUGGGCACUAUAGGGGGACUGCCGGUGUCAAACCGGAGGAAGGUGGGGAUGACGUCAAGUCCUCAUGGCCCUUAUGUCCAGGGCAACACACGUGCUACAAUGGGUGAUACAAAGGGCUGCGAACCCGCGAGGGUAAGCCAAUCCCAAAAAGUCAUCCUUAGUUCGGAUUGGAGUCUGCAAUUUGACUCCAUGAAGUUGGAAUCGCUAGUAAUCGCAGGUCAGCAGGCUGCGGUGAAUACGUUCCCGGGCCUUGUACACACCGCCCGUCACGCCAUGAAAGUCGGCUGUACCAGAAGUCGCUGUGCUAACCCUUCGGGGAAGUAGGCGCCCACAGUGUGGUUGGCGAUUGGGGCGAAGUCGUAACAAGGUA
rnacentral:rRNA from 1 species